rnacentral:tRNA from 1 species
GCCUGCCUGGCUCAGUGGGUAGAGCGUGCGACUCUUGAUCUCAGGGUUGUGAGCUCAAGCCCCAUGCUGGGCA